CACCGUGAAGCUAAUCAAGCAUUAACCUUUUAAGUUAAAAACUGAAAGUCUAAAUCUUUCCACAGUGA
rnacentral:tRNA from 1 species